GUGCUGCGGCAGGUGACGUCUCCAUUGGCCUCCACCUCCGCUGAGGUGUUUGUGGCUGGAUUUUCUUUACUGCGUAGGACAAUAAACCCUGACUUUGAGGAGCCGGGACCAAAGGGGGCUGAGCGGACAAGCGGAAAGGCAGACUCCAAAAUGCUACACGGCUCCCCUAUGAGGCCUGCGAGAACGCCCUCUGCUCACCACUGACUCCCUCGGGUAAACCCGGCCGUGAGCCCCCGAGCUACGCUGGAUCCGCUUCGCUCAUUUUUACGGUUCUUUUGAAGUGACAUCUCUGCCGUCUGCCAGCAUGUGCCGACGGCAUUCCAACCCGCUGCUCUUCUUCUUUUCCCGGAUAGGCAGCGCUGCCGUUCUGUUUCACUUCUCUAUGGCUUUUUGUUGCCCUCUCCCAGCUUCUUCCUUGGAGCUGCUGCGGCCCCCCCCCACCCCACCCCUCCCGUCGCCCCCUUCCAGGUAGGUCUUUGGUGCCAGAAAGAGGAGCACAGUGUCCCUUUGUUAUUUCCAGGGCUUAAGUCUAGAUAACAAGUGCAGCCACCCAGACUCUGCAACACAUCAGCCUGUCGGAGGCCUUUCAUUUCCAUAAUUGUGAUUGGAGGGGCAAGUCCUCGCAGAGUUCUCUAUAGGCAUUAGACAAUGACGACCUUCAUAGACACUUAAAGGCAGUUUGUUUUUCUUACAUUUUGAGAAGGUCUUAUCUUGUGGUGAUCCGAUUUUAAAAACACAUCUUUAACUCCGCGUUGAAAGAAAGAAAUGUGGUAUUUUACUUGUUAGUAGUGAUGGUCUCGCUUCGCCACGUGCCGACUUGCGUUAACGUUACAUUACCAGCUAGCCCCGCUAGCUUGACAACGGUUUGCCUGGUCCCACAACUGGAACCCACCACCAGUCUGCCAGAUGUGAGGCCUUCUCCACGCUCUCCGCACUCCAAGCAGGAAAACACAAACUUCCCACGCGCACUCCCCCGCGCGGACGAAUAAACGCUCAUCAUCGGCGCUCCGCAGUCACCUGCAGCGCCGCGUCUCUGCGGACACUCUCCCUCCGGGACACCCCGAAGAACUCGGGACGCAGGCUUCUCCCGCAGGCCUCUUUUUGUUUUCCGUCCAAACCGAAGAGUGACCUUGUAGUGGCCGCAGAUUCCCCGAGUGGAAAGCGGUCUCCUUCAGAAGCCUGCUAUUAGCGGCUUUGUGGGGCAGAGUGGCGACAUGUUAAUGGCACCCAGACACAGAAGAGGCUUUAGACCCCCGCGGCCGCCUGCACCCAGAACACAGCCGACUGCAGGGAAUGCGGAAUCUUAAGGAUGGAAGUUGAAAGCAACCACCGAGGGAUGGUUUGGAUUUCUGUUCAAUAUUUUAUACUUUGUUUAGAAGAAACAAUGUGUAAGAUUUUAACGUUGAGGGACAUCGCUCUGAAGAUGAGCAGCCUUCGUGCUGCGGGUCUGAAUUGGAGGGAAAUCCGCUUGAACGCUUCAGGACACUAAACAGGAAGGAAGAAUCUUUAAUCACAAACAAGUCCUUAUACUUAAAAGACCAGCUUGAAAUGUUGAAGUUGGCUUAUUCUCUUUGAUGCUGUGACCACUCGCACAUCUGUACAUUACAUUUGAUGCUCGAGCUUGCAGCUGUUUAGCCUCGCCUUGCAUGGAGCAAUAUUUUUAUUGUAAAAGCAGCUUGGGCACUUUUUGUAUGUUACUUAACAUGUUUAAAUACCAAAUUUGCUUAGGACGAUGUUCAGCUGUGCAUUAAUAAACUGUUGGCAUGCUAACUAA
ensembl:lncRNA